rnacentral:lncRNA from 1 species
UUUGUGGGAAUUCUUCGUCAAAAAUCUCUAUUGUAUGAUCCUAGCCAUUAGGAGGCUGAGACAGAAUGAUUGAUAAUUCCAGGUUAAUCUGCCUUACAAAGUGAAAGGCUGCUGGGCAAAACAAAGCAACCCUUCCCAAAGAAACAAAAUCUGUUUUUGAAUAGCUCUUAUCAGUACACUCUUUGUUUUGAGACAAAAUUUCACUCUGUAGUCCAGGCUGGUCUGGAACUCACUCUAGUCCAGGAUGGCCUUGAAUUUAUAGCAAGCUCCCUGCUUCAGUCUCUAGUGCUGGAAUUAUGUGUUUUGAGUCACCAUGCCAUGCCUAGCUUUGAAUAUGUUUUUCCUUCUUUCAAUAAAGACUGAGACAGACACAGAUACUUGUACCUAACCAUUGGACUGAAGUUGGGGACUCCUAUGGUUGAAUUAGGGGAAGGAUUUAAAAAUCUGAAGGGGAAGGUGACCCCAGAGGAAGACCAGCAGACUCAACAAACCCAGACCCCUGGGAGCUCCCAGAGACUGAGCCACCAACCAGGCAGCAUACAUGGGCUGAUCUGAGGCCCCUGGCACAUAUAUACCACACUGCCUGGUUUGGCCUCAGUGUGAGAAGAUGGACCUAAUCCUCAAGAGACUUGAGGCCCCAGGGAAGGGGGAUGCCUGUUGGGUGGGGAUCAUCCUCUAGGAGGUAAAGGGGAGGAGAAAUGGGAUGAGGAACUGUGGGAGGAGGAACCAGGAGAGGGAGUCAACAGCUGGAAUGUAAAGAAAUAAAAU